GAUGAAGAACGUAGUAAAAUGCGAUAAGUAAUGUGAAUUGCAGAAUUCAGUGAAUCAUCGAAUCUUUGAACGCACAUUGCGCCCGCCAGUAUUCUGGCGGGCAUGCCUGUUCGAGCGUCAUUUCAACCCUCAAGCACAGCUCGGUGUUGGGACUCGCGUUAAUUCGCGUUCCUCAAAUUGAUUGGCGGUCACGUCGAGCUUCCAUAGCGUAGUAGUAAAACCCUCGUUACUGGUAAUCGUCGCGGCCACGCCGUUAAACCCCAACUUCUGAAUGUUGACCUCGGAUCAGGUAGGAAUACCCGCUGAACUUAAGCAUAUCAAUAAGCGGAGGA
rnacentral:misc_RNA from 1 species